UUUCCUGUGCUGUUCUCAUGAUAGUGAAUGGGUCUCACAAGAUCUGAUGGAUUUAAAGACGGGAGUUUCUCUGCACAAGCUCUCUCUUUUUGCCUGCUGCCGUCCACAUAAGAUGUGACUUGCUCCUCCUUGACUUUUGCCUUCCACCAUGAUUGUGAGGCCUCCCCAGCCACAUGGAACUGUUGGAGUGCAGUGGCACAAUCUCGGCUCACUGCAGUCUCUGCCUCCCGAGUAGGGAAUCAAGGGAUUCUCCUGCCUCAGCCUCCAGAGUGGCUGUGAUUACAGGAACCUGCCACCACGCCCAGCUAAUUUUUGUAUUUUUAGUAGAGAUGGGGUUUUGCCAUAUUUGCCAGGCUGGUCUCGACCUCCUAACCUUAGCCUCAGCCUCCCAAAGUGCUGGGAUUACAGGCAUGAGCCACCACGCCUGGCCAAAAUUAAAAUUUUUGUGCUUCGAAGGACACCAUCAAAAAUGUGAAAAGACAACCAACAUGUUUCCAAAGGCUUUAUUGGUAAAUAUUCUUUAGAAAAGAAUGAUCAAUCCUGUUGCUUCCAAGUCAAUGGAAUGAAGAACCAUGUCCAGGGACACUCCAAGCAGUGCUGAAGAAGACCGCUGCUGUGUCCACCUCUUGUUCAUAGGCCCAGUCAUAAGCACAAGACUUGUAAUCAACCAGCUCUUCAGGUUAAGUUUUUCCCACCCACAGACUCUGACCUUGGAAAUAUGUAGUGCCAUCAACUGUCUUGGUUUCCCAGGGCUGAGGGUAUUUGGGGACAUGGAGCCAUAAACCAUAGGCUGAUUUAUUUUUCAGCACUUUUUACUGAGUCACUGCCAUGAAUGAUGUCCCUGCCAACCUGAAUGCAGAAGUCCCCGCCACUGGUGCCUGGCUUAGAAUCCGUUGGAUUGGUCUCCCAAGCAUCACUCGGCCUGUCUCCACUACACUCAGUCCCUCCUCCAUGGCCAUGAGUUCAUGUACUUCACCAGCCCAGGGAGGAAUGGACAGUCUUUCAGGUCAGGGUAGAGCUGCUUCAGGUGUUCCUCAGAGGCCCAAAGGUGGAAUCCCUUCAGCUCAAAGUGCCUCAUGACAUUGCCCAGCAGGCCCCACCGCACACCGUGUGGCUUCAUGGAGAUAAAGGUGCGCUCGAGGUUGGACAUGGUCUGGGAAGCUGAUGGGGCAGGCAGUGGCUGCACUGCAGGAGCUGAGAGCUGCAGUGACCUGCACCCAGAUUUCCUAUCAUGAGCAUUAGAACACAUAUCUCUCCUGCUUCAGCCUUGCCAGUAAGAACAAGAACUCUCCUCUGCAGAUAGCCCCUGCCUCACUCCUUCCCAUUCUUGUGCUUCCUUCUUCAUAUACCAGUGAUGAAUUUCCCAUGACUUGGGGAGAAAAAUCCAACUGGAAGUGGAAGGAGAUAGUAGUGGUGGUGGUGGAGGGGGUGGUGCGGGGUAGAGGAAGAGUUAGUGAUGAAUCAUGAAUACUUAGGUAAUAUAAUGGGACAGGCUUGGGCAGGAAGAAACACUGGGGCAGGACAGUUCAUGUGAAGAAAAAAAAUGUUGUUCUGGGAGAUGCAGGUCAGAGCAGGGCCGUUAAGUCAAAACCACCGGCACUGUAGAGAUGAAUAUUGUAACCAGCUUUUAUUUUAAUUCAGGCUGUCCCCACAUCCAACCCCCCUUUUUUAAUUUGCAAGAAUCCUCCACCUUGUGUGGUGUCCGUGGGAUGUGGUACCUCAACUCUUACCAAAGAAUAUCAGGAUGAAGUCUUCCUCCUUCACGCCCAUCAUGGAGGUGGGAGCACAUGACCCAAGCUGGUUAAUCCAAUGCCCAGGGACCAGAGUUGAAGGGCAGUUAGCAUCUUUCACCGUGUACCACAUGGUUAUGGUACCCAGCGAUAGAAGAGGCAUUCAGUACUGGCACGUCCUCUGGAAGUGGAGAGCUGAUUUUGGAUAGCCCUGGUCAGUUGCUGUUACUUGCAUCAAACAGUCCUGAUUACAUCAUGACCUCUCUUUGAUCCAGAAGCUGUAAAUUUCUACAUGCCUUCAGGCAAACUCAGCUCUGUCUUCAAAUAAAAUAGAGGCAAAUCAGAUAGCUUUUUUCCCCUUAAAGACAAAUUCCUUCCAAGGAUUAUCAAUAUAUUUAUUAAUCUCUUCUCUUUAUGGGCAGAAAAAAAGUCCCCAUGAAUUUAAAAUGUGAAAAUAUAUUUAUUGACUUAAAGAUAUAAUAAUUUUAGGGAAGCAAAAUAGUUGUGUUCAAUUAUUUUCACAGCAAGAUGCCUGUAAAAUGUAUAUAAUUGGAUUGAUUGGCACUGUUAAUGACUCUUCAGAUAUGUACAAAUCUAGUCAUACGCUCUAAAAUUUGCAGAGACAAAUCAAUUUAAUAUGCUUUAUUCACUUUCUAAGUUUAACAUUGGGAUAUAUUGUGAUUGAAUAAAACAUUCAGAUGUGCUCUAAUUUACAUUUUGCCCACAAAAUAAUUCCCAAUUCUGCUUCAUUCAUACCAUUGUUUAGUAUUGUGGUUGUGUUCAUCAUUUCUUAGCAAGGAGAACAUAAGUUUCAUCUAUUACCAGCUGAAUGAUUUGACUCAAAAGGCAAUUAAAAAUCACACUCUUGGGAGGCCAAGGCAGGUAGAUCAUGAGGUCAGGAGAUCGAGACCAUCCUGGCUAACACAGUGAAACCCCAUCUCUACUACUGAAACUACACACACACACACACACACACACACACACACACACACACACACACACAGAGAAUUAGCCGGGCAUGGUGGCAUGUGCCUGUAUUCCCAGCUAUUCGGGAGACUGAGGCAGGAAAAUUGCUUGAACCCCGGAGGCGGAGGUUGCAGCAAGCCAAGAUCACGCCACUGCACUCCAGCCUGGGCGACAGAGCGAGACUCCAUCUCAAAAAAAAAAAAAAAAUCACAUUCAACCUAGACAGUGUUACCAGUUGAGCCACAGGUCAAGCCCAGGUUUAAUGUAAAAGAGGACCACACUGGGAGUAGGCAUGAAAACUGAGAGUCAUGGUCCAUUGGACACCAUCUUUGAAUGACUCACUUGGCCGCCUGCUUUUUAUUUUCUCUAUAAAAUGGAUUAACUAUUGCCUGACUGUCAAUCACUAUCACUUUCAAGAUAUCUUCACUUAAUAACAGGUUGUUAUGAGGAUUAAAUAAAGCUUGGGAAAAUUCUAGUGACUGCUCCCUAUGGAUGAACAGAGAUAGACUUAAACUUGAAAUGAUACAAAUCUAGUGAGCAUAGAAAAAUUCUGGAUCCGAAGACUUCAGUGGGUUAAAAGGAUGGACUUACUUUAGGAACAUGCAAUUCAAUAGAGGUAGAAGAAAACUCCAACAGUUGGAUCUAUAAAUACUAAUGAAAAAAUUGAUGAGUAGAUGAAUGACUUAAGAGACCAAUGUGGAAAAGAAUGAAAGGUUUAAGUAGAUAAUAAAACAGUGAGAUAUGAAGAACUAAAAAUACUUCAUCCAGAUUUUUUUAAAUGCUUCAGUGGGACAUAGUAGUUUUCUUCAAAUAUGUGAAGACUUUCAUAAGCAGACAUGGUAGACUUGCUCUUGAAAGGCGUAUCAGCGGGUUAGAGGUGAAAGUCUGCAAGAACAAUUCUGGCUACUCAAGAGAUUUUCCAACUUGGCAAGAAUGGAAAGAACCUUGGGACAUAGUCUUGAGCUGCCCAUCACUCUCAGGGCUUAAACGAGAUUGAAUAUUCAUUGCUGAAAAUGUCAAAAAAGGGAUUCAAAGAUCAGUCAGCUGGCCAAGCAAGGUGAUCUUUAGAGUGCCCUUCCAAACCUGAGAUUCUAGAUUUCCAAGCCUUGACUCUUAACAUCUGUCAUGGAACCAUUAUAGCACCAUCUGCCCAAUUUCCCCGCUGAUGAUUUCACCUGACUAUGUAAUCCUGGAAGAGGGGUGAUGCCCAUUAACUUGUAGUUGGUUUAUAUAAGCUAGAGCAAGCUGUGUGGUUUGAAUCAUGUAUGUGUCCAUAGGAAUCUAAAAUAAUUGGCCAACUGUAAGCAGUGUUGUUGAAUUUCAUAUUUGGUGAAUAUGUAAAAUGCUUUGAAUUACAUUGAAACUUCCUAAGUUAACUUUAAUAUGUUCAUGGACAUUCAUUAUUUUCUCGUAUUUCCACAAGUUAGAGAUAGCUUUCCAAUGGACAAAUCUUUGCCUUUUAUCUUAAGGAGCUGAGGUGAUUCAAGCAAGCCAUUUGGAAGUUCAUAAUUUUGUGGUUUUUUCCUUGUAAAAUUGUCUUCACGAAGGAAUUAAGUAAGCAAUAUUUGUUUUCAUUGAGAAUAUAAUUUUAUUUACAACUGAUCUAUUGUAGAAUUUGGGUUCAACCUAGGAAAUUAUUUUCCUCACAUAAGAAAAAAUACAUCCAGUUUCUUGCUAGAAAAAUAAUCACUACUUGUUUUGUACAUUUAAAAUCAUGAAUUUCUAUUCUACUGGUUGUCAAAAUAAAGUUAAUUUAACUUAUUUUUUCCUCUGCCCUUGGCCCUUUUGGAGGGAGACUGGUCAUUCCACAGUCGUUCAUUCAAGCUUUGGCCACUAGGUGGAGUACUAGUUAAACAUUGGCUGGCCUGCUUGCAAUCUCACCUUGCACUUGAAAAACGCCAAUUUUUUAGUCUUGUUAUCAAAAGACCAAUUUCAUUCACUUUAAAAUAAUUGUAUUUAUUCUAGCAUUUGUCUCACAUGGAAG
rnacentral:lncRNA from 1 species